GAUGAUCCUACUGAAUCCAAAUCUGCAUUUUACCAGGAUCCCAGACUUGGAAAGCACCCUACAGAAAAGAGGUUGGCCUCGGUUUGAAAUGCAAGCCAGAGUUCCAUGACUAUAAUAUUAAAAUGCAAAGAGGAAGAAACUCUUUCAUUUCUGAGUGCACCGGACAAACCAGCACUAGACACAGAAGGCUUCCACUCAUGAAUGUCUUUAAUUUUGGUUAAAGGAAAAAAAUAAAACACCAUGCAGUCAAAUGCUCUAUCCUCCC
rnacentral:lncRNA from 12 species